rnacentral:rRNA from 1 species
AUACGUAGGGGGCAAGCGUUAUCCGGAUUUACUGGGUGUAAAGGGAGCGUAGACGGUUUGGCAAGUCUGAAGUGAAAACCCAGGGCUCAACCCUGGGACUGCUUUGGAAACUGUCAAGCUAGAGUGCAGGAGAGGUAAGUGGAAUUCCUAGUGUAGCGGUGAAAUGCGUAGAUAUUAGGAGGAACACCAGUGGCGAAGGCGGCUUACUGGACUGUAACUGACGUUGAGGCUCGAAAGCGUGGGGAGCAAACAGGAUUAGAUACCCUGGUAGUCCACGCCGUAAACGAUGAGUGCUGGGUGUUGGGGGGCAAAGCCCUUCGGUGCCGUCGCAAACGCAAUAAGCACUCCACCUGGGGAGUACGUUCGCAAGAAUGAAACUCAAAUGAAUUGACGGGG